GCUUCCUUAGCUCAGUGGGAGAGCGCGCCACUCGUAUAGCGCGACAUGGUGAGGUCACUAGUUCAAUCCUGGUAGGAAGCA